CAAACGCACACAAGCCUCAACAUCGGAGAUGUGGAGCCUCGUAUGCGUCUGUGGGAAACUUGGGCACUCCUCCUCCCCCAAAACACCUGGAGGGAAAGAGGGCCCAAGUUUGCCCAUGCCUGCCCUAGACCUUUUUGGUGUGUUUGCUUGUGCCACCAUUGCACUGUCCUGACCCUGGCAGAAAGGCCUUAAAGGGGAAGAGGAGAAGAAGCAGCAACUUUUUUGGCGGCCACAACUCCUCAGAAAGGGAGGAGAGCGACUCAGCGGGCAUCGCCGCCUGACUCAGCGGGCAUCGCCGCCUGAGGGCAGUUUGACACCCUUCCCGCUCCUCAGAGAAAGAGGCGAAAAAGACAGAGAGAGAGAGAGAGUCUGAGCGAAGGUCAUUUGCAUUUCCAGGCCCUUCCCUCCAAUCAAGGCCCGGCGAAGGAGCCCCAGAGCAAGAGCCAGCGCGCGCCGAACGGUGUGUGGGUUGAGAAGCGCGAGGAGAGCCUCGCGCGCCGGCUCAGCAAACAGGAGGAAACGCAUAGUAGUAGCAUCCUCAUCAUCACAAGCUUGGCGGAAGGAUCCCCUGGGACUCCCGGGGAAGGAGUGGAAGUGGAGUGGAGGGGUGACACUUUCUGCCCAAGUUUCCCACAGACGCACGCGAGGCUGCACCACCUUCGAUGUUGGGGCGUGUGUCUCUGGCGAAUGGGUGUCAGUUUUGAGCAGCCUCUUCCUGGAAAGAAAAGGGGGAAACUACGAGGCAAAACCAGAUAAUUUUUGCAUGCACGCAAAAGAAAAUCUGUCAAAGAGACGGAGACCAUCUAGGAUAACACAGUAAAUAUUUUGCGGGCAUCUCUAAAUCAGUGCCACCUUAAUUGAAUCACUGGCUUUAUCAUCCUGGGAAAUACCACUUUGUAAAGUGCGUCUGUUAACCUUCUGCAGCUCAACAUUUAGCUCUAGAAUGGAUAUGGGCCAGAACUGAAAUAUGCCUGGUGUUUACUUUAGGUGAUUUGUCUUAUGUGAAGCAUACCUGCAUAUAGAUAAGAAGUGAUAUGAUACUUAACCCUUCCACUAUCUAUGUAAUAAAUUCCUAGUGUGGUUACAGUUGGUGUAUAGUCAUUCGUCAUCAAUUCUGUGUGUCAUUCGUUUUAGUGCUUUUGAAUACUGAUAGUUGAUUGGCACCGUGAAAUGCUUGCUCAAAGUAAAGUCCAAUUGGUGGAACUUCUCAGUGUGUUGAUAUGUUGAGGAUCAGGGCCUGAACACAAUAAAAAGUUUUGCCAUUUCUGCAGUUAAUCCUGUAGAUCCUAAAUUUUGACAUCUCUUCUGUUACUUCUGGAUUUUUCCCUUUCCCUUGUUUCACCGUAAUAAGAGCUUGCUAGCAAGGUGAAGGUUUCAUUCUAAAUGUCUUUCGUAUUUAACAAUACUUGGAGAUUUCUGUUCUUGAGACCUCUAUAUGGAUGCAAAGAAAGUGUUAUUACAAAAUAAGGUUUCCUCUGACUGUAUUGAAUGUGGAUUCAUAUUUAUUCAGCGAACCGUUGUGAUGAGAGAGAGGGGGGGAUCAUCGGUACUUCAUUUAGAAUUUGAAUGUAAAACUAUUAUUUGAAGCACCUGGGCAGUCCAAUUCUAGGCAUGCUUUCUAACACUGAGAGUCUUUUAUGGAAAUAUAUUUAAAUCAGUGGGACUUCAGUUUUUAUAGAUAUGUGCCAGACUAUGUGAAACUGAAGAAUUCAGUGUCAUGUUUAGUAGAUAGAGAAUGGGAAAAAUGUUGAAAGUAGAUACUGGAGUUGUUAUGAUAAUAGAAAACUAUCUUUUAAAUUUUUAUUAUUGUUUGUUUUCAAGGUGGCCAUUAUUGACAUUUCUUUGAAAGAUGCUGUACUAAUUUCUCUUUGGCAGUUGUCUUGGAAAGUCAUGAGUUAUUUGCCAUGAUGAAACUGCUACACAUACCUAUCAUAUAUUCAAGUAUUCAGUGAAGUUUUAAAUAAUUCUCUUUCAAUUAGUAGAACAGGAUCUUGAAAAAUGGAUUUCUGUUAAAGAAACAAGAAUCAGUACAUACUGAUUUUUCCCUCCCCCUUGCAGACUAGGCAAUUCUUCUUUCAGUCAUAGCCUUUUCUAAAGAAAGAGAACCUUCUUACACUUUAAAAUGCAAAACUCUGUUUAAAAUAACUUCUUUAAUAUAGCGCUAAUUAGGCAAACUAUUUCAUUGGUCAUUCGUAACAUGGAUAGUCUGAGGACAAACUAGUCUUUCAGAAUAAUUUUUAAGGUAUUGAUCCUGUAUAUACUUGCUUAGGAAUACCUUCCACUGAAGACAGUGGCACAUCACACUGACUUAAAAUCCAUGCAAUUGAUUUAUAAAAGUACAGUACGGUUUUAGCAAC
rnacentral:lncRNA from 11 species